rnacentral:rRNA from 1 species
UAAAUAGAUACCCCGGUAGUCCACGCCGUAAACGGUGGGCGCUAGGUGUGGGGGACUUUCCACGUCCUCUGUGCCGCAGCUAACGCAUUAAGCGCCCCGCCUGGGGAGUACGGCCGCAAGGCUAAAACUCAAAGGAAUUGACGGGGGCCCGCACAAGCGGCGGAGCAUGUGGCUUAAUUCGACGCAACGCGAAGAACCUUACCAAGGCUUGACAUGCAGAGAAAUCUCGUAGAGAUACGGGGUCCGCAAGGGCUUUGCACAGGUGGUGCAUGGUUGUCGUCAGCUCGUGUCGUGAGAUGUUGGGUUAAGUCCCGCAACGAGCGCAACCCUUGUCCUAUGUUGCCAGCGAGUAAUGUCGGGGACUCAUAGGAGACUGCCGGGGUCAACUCGGAGGAAGGUGGGGAUGACGUCAAAUCAUCAUGCCCCUUAUGUCUUGGGCUGCACACAUGCUACAAUGGUCGGUACAAAGGGCUGCGAGACCGCAAGGUGGAGCGAAUCCCAAAAAAGCCGGCCUCAGUUCGGAUUAGGGUCUGCAACUCCG